rnacentral:rRNA from 1 species
ACAUACGACCAUAGAUUGAGGAGAAUUGGGCAUCCCGUCCGCUCUGCCAUACACAAGCCUACAAAUCGGCAGUCUAGUAGUUGGGUGGGUGACCACCAGCGAAUCCCUGCUGUUGUAUGUU